rnacentral:rRNA from 1 species
CGAAGGGUGCAAGCGUUACUCGGAAUUACUGGGCGUAAAGCGUGCGUAGGUGGUGAGUUAAGUCUGUCGUGAAAGCCCCGGGCUCAACCUGGGAAUGGCGAUGGAUACUGGCUCGCUAGAGUGCGGUAGAGGAGAGUGGAAUUCCCGGUGUAGCAGUGAAAUGCGUAGAGAUCGGGAGGAACAUCAGUUGCGAAGGCGGCUCUCUGGACCAGCACUGACACUGAGGCACGAAAGCGUGGGGAGCAAACAGGAUUAGAUACCCUGGUAGUCCACGCCCUAAACGAUGCGAACUGGACGUUGGGAGCAAUCAGGCUCUCAGUGUCGAAGCUAACGCGUUAAGUUCGCCGCCUGGGGAGUACGGUCGCAAGACUG